rnacentral:rRNA from 1 species
UACGUAGGCAGCGAGCGUUGUUCGGAGUUACUGGGCGUAAAGGGUGUGUAGGCGGUUCUUUAAGUUUGGCGUGAAAUCUCCCGGCUCAACCGGGAGGGUGCGUCGAAUACUGAGGGACUAGAGUACGGGAGAGGAAAGUGGAAUUCCAGGUGUAGCGGUGAAAUGCGUAGAUAUCUGGAGGAACACCGGUGGCGAAGGCGACAUCCUGGACCGGUAUUGACGCUGAGGCGCGAAAGCCAGGGGAGCAAACGGG